AGUCGAGCUUAAGUUUGGCUCAUUUAUAUUUCAAACGAGCUGAGCUUGAGCUUGACUCUUUAUAUUUUAAACAAGCCAAAGAUGAGCCAAGCUCAAAUUGAGCUCGAGUUUAAUGUAUUUCAAAUGAGCCAAGCUUAAUAAAAGUUUUGUGAAUUUGUUUCUCUUGAUCCUUUGGUUUCUUCUUGUUUGUUCUACAUCACUUCCCAUUGGCAAUAUAUCUAAUAUAUCUACUUAUAGAAGCUGUACAGCUUGAUUAUGAAAGAUACUUUCACAUGAUAUGGUAUCAAAUACUAAAAAGGUUAAUUAACUGUAAUUCAAAAACUUCAAAUCAGCACCUUUUUAUAGGCAUGCUUUUGGUAUCAGUCUGUGCAUGGGAUUUAUGUCAGCGCCUAAAACUACCAACUUGGCUGACCUAUCUUUCCCACCAUCUUUUUUAGUUUGGUUAUUCAUUGAUUUGAAAAAUAAAAAUGGAGAUGGCUAAUCUGCUACAAAGCCUGGUACUAUAACUAAGUUACAAGUUCUAAAACAGGAUAUCAGACACUGAAACAGUCCAACUAAAGGGCAGCUGAAGAAAUGGCCUAAGCUAAAUCCUAACCAGAAUACAUCUACGAUCUAGCAAGGAGAGCCAAAAAGAAAUCUGUAGAUUACUUUUCUCAAAACCUGGAUUAACUUGUCAGAGGUUGUAUUCACAAACCACCAGUAGCUGAUAUCAAACAUCAAUUCCCUACUCUCUACACAAUUCAUUAGCAUGUUGGUACAAUUAAAAUUUCAAAGAUGAUCUUUACUGAUAAUUCUGCAUCUUAUCUCAAGGGCAAUAGCUUCUAACAAGACAAUGCCUUUCGACAAUGUAUUGUCAAAGGAGAUAAUCAUUUUUAUUGCUUGAUUUUUAUCUGGGAGUAUAAUUAGCACCAACUUAUUUGAAUUCAGAGGGAUAACAAAUGAACUGCUUCUAGAGGUGUUAUUAAAAUGAUACUACUUGGACCAAAGAACAUCAUUACCACCAGACUGAUCAUCAACCUGACAACUGAGAAAAUAUAGGGCAUUUUUAUCUGGGAGUAUAAUUAACUUUCAUUCUCCUUGGUGUACUAUUUUUAGAUUUAGCUCUACGCUCAUUGCCAUCUCUUAUUGCUUCAUCUUCCCUAAUCAGUGUAGCAAUUUGCAAUAUACAGUCAAGUUUGCAUCAAUAUAGGGCAUUUUUUUUUCUGUUGGAAAAAUUUCUCCUUUAAAUAUGUUAGUUAAAAGGUAUUAAAAAUUAGUUUAAAAUUAAAUUUAACAUAUUUUAGUUAUAAGAACUUCAAAAUAAUUAAGCUUUUUUUUUUAACAGCAUCUAAAAUGAUACUUUUUCAAAAAUUUAGUCUCCCUAUCUCAAAUCGAAACAGAACCUGUAUUCUGGUAACCAUGGAUACAUAUUCUCAACAAUUCAUGGAUGUAUGAAGUGGCAAGAAGUGGCAACUGUGUUGGGCAGCUUUUUUUUUUUU
rnacentral:misc_RNA from 1 species